rnacentral:rRNA from 1 species
AAUCAACGCUGGCGGCGUGCCUCAGACAUGCAAGUCGAACGAUUAAGACUCGUCUUCGGAGAGUGCAUAAAGUGGCGCACGGGUGAGUAACACGUAAGUAAUCUACCCUCGAGUGGGGAAUAACGUCCGGAAACGGACGCUAAUACCGCAUAAUGCAGCGGCACCGCAAGGUGACAGUUGUUAAAGAUUUAUCGCUUGAGGAGGAGCUUGCGGCAGAUUAGCUAGUUGGUAAGGUAAUGGCUUACCAAGGCUACGAUCUGUAACCGGUCUAAGAGGACGGUCGGUCACACUGACACUGAAUAACGGGUCAGACUCCUACGGGAGGCAGCAGUCGGGAAUUUGGGCAAUGGGCGAAAGCCUGACCCAGCAACGCCGCGUGAAGGAUGAAGUA